rnacentral:rRNA from 1 species
AAUAGAUACCCAGGUAGUCCACGCCGUAAACGAUGAGUGCUAAGUGUUAGAGGGUUUCCGCCCUUUAGUGCUGCAGCAAACGCAUUAAGCACUCCGCCUGGGGAGUACGGUCGCAAGACUGAAACUCAAAGGAAUUGACGGGGGCCCGCACAAGCGGUGGAGCAUGUGGUUUAAUUCGAAGCAACGCGAAGAACCUUACCAGGUCUUGACAUCCUCUGACACUCCUAGAGAUAGGAUUUUCCCCUUCGGGGGACAGAGUGACAGGUGGUGCAUGGUUGUCGUCAGCUCGUGUCGUGAGAUGUUGGGUUAAGUCCCGCAACGAGCGCAACCCUUGAUCUUAGUUGCCAGCAUUUAGUUGGGCACUCUAAGGUGACUGCCGGUGACAAACCGGAGGAAGGUGGGGAUGACGUCAAAUCAUCAUGCCCCUUAUGACCUGGGCUACACACGUGCUACAAUGGAUGGUACAAAGGGCAGCAAAACCGCGAGGUUAAGCCAAUCCCAUAAAACCAUUCUCAGUUCGGAUUGCAGG